CACCAGAGAACUUCAUAAAAAUUUUGAAAAAGAAGAAUCAAGCUGAAGCAUUCACUAUGCCUGAUUUCAGAUUUAUCGUAAAACUAUUUCAAUUAAGAUAGUAUAGUAUUGAUGAAAGAAUAGACACAGAGAUCAAAGCAAGAGAAUAGAGUCUGGAAAUAGAUAUGCAUAUGUAUACAUGACAUCUUCAGAGACAACUGAGUUCAACAAAGAUGUAAAUGUAAUUCAAUGGAAAAUACGUAAGGAAAAUUAAAUAUCCAUAUUGAAGAAAAUCAACUUCUACCCAUACCUCAUACCAUAGUAAAAAAUUACUCAAAAGAGAUCAUAUCCUUAAAUUUAACAUCUAAAACUAUAAAAGUUCCAGAGGAAACCAUAGGAGAAAAUAAUUUAUGUGUGUUAGGCGUAGAUUACUUAGAUAUGACAUUAAAAGCACAAAUCAUAGAGGAAAAAUACAGAGAUUUCCCCCCCAACCAGUCACAUUCUGUCACAUACCUCUUUAUUUCCCUGACAGCACAUAACAGUACAUGAAAGUAUAUUUUAUAAUUUAUUGAUUAUUAUCUGUCAGAAAAACUAACAUGACCUUAAAAAGAAAUUAACAAUUUUUUAGAGCCAUUUCAGGUUCACAGCAAAACUGAGGAAACUACAGUGUUCCUGGAUACCCUCUGUACUCACUCUUUCACUAAGUAAUUUGAAUUUAAGAUUCUUCCAUGUCUUUUCAUGGUUUGAUAGCUUAUUUCUUUUUAGUGCUGAAUAACAUUCCAGUAUCUGGAUACCACAGUUAAUUUAAUCAUUCACCUAUUGAAGGAUAACUUUGUUACUUCCAAGUUUUGGCAGUUAUGAAUAAAGCUGCUUUAAACAUCCACAUGUAGGUUUUUGUGUGGACAUAAGUUUUUAAUUCAUUUGGAUAAAUACCAAGGAGUGCAACUGCUGAAUCGUGCAAUAAGAAUAUGUUUAGCUUUGUAGGAAGAAAUUGCCAGUAGGCUUCCAAAGCGGCUCUACCGUUUUGCAUUUCCACCUACAGUGAAUAGGAGUUCCUGUUGCUCCAAGUUUUCUCCAGCAUUAGGUGUUGUCAGUAUUUGGGAUUCUAAUCACUUUAAUAGGUAUGUAAUGGUAUGUCACAGUUGUAUAAAUUUUCAGUUCCCUGGUGACACAUCAUGAGCAUCUUUUCAUGUGUUUACCUGACAUGUGUAUAACCUCUUUGAUGAGGUAUCUGUUUGGAUCUUAAUUUUUUUAAUCGGAUUUUUAAUCAGAUUGUUCAUUUUCAUAUUGUUGAGUUUGCCAUAUUCUUUGCAUAUUUUGGACUCUAGUCCUUUGUUGAUGUGUCGUUUGUAGAUAUUUUCUCCUAGUUUUGUGGCUUGUCUUCUCAUUCUCUUGACAUUAUCUUUUACAGAGCGAAAAUUUUUAAUUUUAGUGAUUUUUUUCUUUCAUGGAUCAGGCUUUUGGUGGUGUAUCAAAAAAUCAUUGUGACCUACACUGCGGCACGUGGCAAUGCUGGAUCUUUAACCCACUGAGCAAGGCCAGGGAUUGAACCCACAUCCUCAUGGAUACUAGUUGGGUUCUUAGCUUGCUGAGCCACAUGGGAACUCCCAUUUCGAAUUAAUUUUUAUGAAGGGUAUAAGGUCCGUGUUUUAAUUUUUUUUUUGCAUGCGGAUAUCCAACUGUGUCAGCACCGUUUGUUGAAAAGACUAUCUUUGCUCCAUUGCAUUGUCUUUGCUUCUUUGUCAGAAAUCAGUUGAUUAUAUUAUAUGGGUCUAUUUCUAGGCUCUCUAUUCUGUUCCAUUGAUCCGUUAGUCUAUUCUUUCAUUAAUACCACACUUUCUUGAUUACUGUAGCCUCACAGGUAAGUCUUGAAGUCAGGUAGUCAUUUAAUACUGAAUUGGCUAUUUUGAAUCUUUUGCCUCUCUAUAUAAACUUUAAAAUCAGCUUGUUGAUAUCCACAAAAUAACUUGAGAUCUUAAUUUGGAUUGUGUUGAUUCUAUAGAUCAAGUUGGGAAGAACUGACACCUUGAUAAUAUUGAAUCUUUCUAUCCCAUGAACAUUUAUUUAGUUCUUUGAUUUCUUUCAUCAUUGUACAUAUUUUAUGAGAUUUAUAUCUAGGCAUUUCAUUUUUAGGAGUGUUAGUUUUAAUUUUCAGUUUCACUUGUUAAUUGCUAGGUUGUGCUUGUUCGUUGCUGGUAUAUAGGAAAGUGAUUGACUUUCAUAUUUUAUUUUUGUAUGCUACAACCUUGCUAUAGUAAAAUAAUGACUUGUUAGUUUCAGGAGUCUUCUGCAUUUUCUGCAUAGACAGUUCUUUCAUCUGCAAACUAAGACAGUUUUACUUCCUUCCAAUCUGUCUGCCUUCUAUUUACUUUUCUUACUGAGUUAGUUAAAACUUCUAAUAAGAUGUUAAAAGCAGUGGUGAGAGGGGACAUCCUUACCUCAUUCCUAAUAUUUGGGGGAAAGCUUUAAGGUUUUCAUUGUUAAGUUUGAUGUUAGUGAUAGGUUUUUCUGUAGAUGUUCUUUAUCAAACUAAGGAAGUUCCCCUCUAUUCCUAAUUUGUUGAGAGUUUUUUUCUUUUCUUUUUCUUUCUGCUAUUUCUUGGGCUGCUCCUGUGGCAUAUGGAGGUUCCCAGGCUAGGGGUUGAAUCGGAGCUUCAGCCACCGGCCUACACCAGAGCCACAGUAAUGCUGGAUCCAAGCCGUGUCUGCAACCUACACCACAGCUCACGGUAACGCCGGAUCGUUAACCCACUGAGCAAGGGCAGGGACCGAACCCGCAACCUCAUGGUUCCUAGUCGGAUUCAUUAACCACUGCUCCGUGACGGGAACUCCUGUUGAGAGUUUUUAAUCUUAAAUGGUGUUGGAUUUUUUGAAAUGCUUUGUCUUUAUCUAUUGAUAUGAUCAUGUGAUUUUUCUUCUUUAGCCUAUUGAGAUGCAUCAUGUUAACUGAUUUUCAAAUAUUGAACCAUCUUUGCAUACCUGGGAUAAGUCCCAUUUGGUUGUGAUGUACCAUAUUCUUUUUACACAUUUUUGGGUUUGAUUUGCUAAUAUUUCCUUUUUUUUGGGGGGGGGUAAUCUUUUUGCCAUUUCUAGGGCUGCUCCCAUGGCACAUGGAGGUUCCCAGGCUAGGGGUCGGAUUGGAGCUGUAGCCGCUGGUGGUAUCCGGGCCAUGUCUGCAACCCACACCACAGCUCACGGCAACACCGGGUCCUUAACUCGCUGAUCAAGGCCAGGGAUCAAACCCACAACCUCAUGGUUCCUAGUUGGAUUCAUUAACCACUGAGCCACAACAGGAACUCCUGAUUUGCUAAUAUUUCAUCAAGGUUUUUGUAUCUAUGUUCAUGAGAGAUACUGAUUUGUAGUUUACUUGAAUGUCUUUUUCUGGUUUUGGUGUUGGGGUGAUGCUGGCUUCAUAGAAUGUGUUAGGAAGUAUUUCCUCUGCUUUUAUCUUCUGAAAGAGAUUGUAGACAAUUGAUAAAAUUUCUUCCUUAAAUGAUUAGUAGAAUUCACCAGAUGCCAUGUGAGUUUAAUGCUUUCUGUUUUGGAAAGUUACUAAUUAUUAAUAUAUUUUCCUUAAUACCUAUAGGCUUAUUCAGAUUGUCUUCUUUGUGUGAGUUUUGGCAAAUUGUGUCAUUCAAGGAAUUGGUUGAUAUCAUCUAGGUUAUCAAAUUUGUGGGUACAGAGAGAGGGUCAGAGUAUUCCUUUAUUAUUUUUUUGAUAUCCAUGAGAUCUAUAGUGAUGUCUCCUCUUCCAUGUCUGAUAUUAUUAAUUUGUGUCUUUUCUCUUAUUUGCUUAGAUACCCUGGCUAGAGACUUAUCAAUUUAAUUGAUUUUUUUUGAAGAACCAACUUUGUGUUUUGUUGACUUUUUCUCUUGCUUUCCUAUUUUUGAUUUCAUUGAUUUCUAUUCUAAUUCUUAAUUAUUUUUUCUUUUGUUUCCAUUUGCUUCUUCCUGUCUGAUACAUCAUAGUUUUCAUUAAGGCUCUUAUUUCUUGCUGUUUAUGAACCAGUUCCUCUAAAAUUGUUUCAUUAAGUUAGAGAUUCAGCUUGUGAAGAAUUGAGAGGUCAAAGAUUUGUGGGGAAAGUGUAACAAAGCCUUUUCUUCUUCCUUCACAACAGCUAAAAUUGUUAUAGUCUAUCAUUUAUUGAAUAUUUACUAAGUGCUAUGUAUUUUUAAAAAUAUCUUAAUCCUCAAAACAUAUCUACAAGGUAAUUAGUAUUAUUUUCAUGUAUACAUGAGGAAAGAAGGUUCCAAAGGUAAAAUGACUUGCUCAAGGCUGUUCAUUUUAUGUAAGUGAAAGAGUUGGGUUUUAAGCUCAGAUCUGUAGAGUAAUAAUGUAAGAGAUAUACAGAUAAAUAAAUUUCACUGCAGAUAUAUAGUCAUAUAGAUAUUGCAAUAUCACAGCGAUUUUGGGAACAUGCUUUAAAAAAUUUAAGGGUAAUGUAUUUUAUUUACAAGAAAGUGGGAUUGCUUUGUCCGAUGAAGGGAAUGACUUAUUCAAAAGUAGAGAGAUUUGUUGGUGGAAGAGGAAUGGUGAGACAGGUUCUGCCUCGGUUUUCAAUAUUGGUCUGUGACACAUACUUUCAGAACUGAUGCCCCUGUGUUUUGUCACUGAUACGUUGUAAAAAAUGAGGAUUGAAAUGUUGUCAUGUUCAAUAUUUUAUGCAGCUUUUAUUUAAAAGGUUUUUUUUAGGACUUCCUGUCGUGGCUCAGUGGAAAUGAAUCUGACUAGCAUCCAAGAUGAUGCAGGUUUGAUCCUUGGCCUCACUCAGUGGGUUAAGGAUCCGGUGUUGCUGUGAGCUGUGGUAUAGGUUACAGACAUGGCUCGGAUCUGGUGUUACUGUGGCUGUGGCCUAAGCCGGUGGCUACAGCUCUGAUUUGACCCCUAACUUGGGAACCUUCAUAUGCUGCAGGUGCAGCCUUAGAAAAGAAAAAAAAGUCAUCCAUGAAUUUGGCAAAGUCGCAGGAUACAAAAUUAAUACACAGACAUUUAUGGCAUUUCCAUACAUUAACAAUGAAAGACCAGAAAGAGAAAUUAGGGAAGCAAUCCCGUUUAUCAUCGCAUCCAAAAGAAUAAAAUACCUAGGAGUAAACCUACCUAAAGAGACAAAAGACCUGUACUCUGAAAACUACAAGACACGGAUGAAAGAAAUCAAAGAUGACACAAAUAGACAUACCAUGCUCUUGGAUUGGAAGAGUUAAUAUUAUCAAAAUGACUAUACUACCUAAGGCAAUCUACAGAUUCAAUGCAAUCCCUAUCAAAUUACCAAGGACAUUUUUCACAGAACUCGAACAAAAUAUUUUCAAGUUUGUUUGGAAGCACAAAAGACCCAGAAUAGCCAAAGACACCCUGAAAAAGAAAAA
ensembl:lncRNA